rnacentral:rRNA from 1 species
UACGUAGGGGGCGAGCGUUGUCCGGAAUUAUUGGGCGUAAAGAGCGCGUAGGCGGUCCGAUAAGUCGGCUGUGAAAGUCAGGGGCUCAACCCUUGGAAGCCGGCCGAUACUGUCGGACUAGAGUCCGGAAGAGGCGAGUGGAAUUCCUGGUGUAGCGGUGAAAUGCGCAGAUAUCAGGAGGAACACCGGUGGCGAAGGCGGGUCUCUGGGCCGAUACUGACGCUGAGGAGCGAAAGCGUGGGGAGCAAACAGG